rnacentral:rRNA from 1 species
UACGUAGGGUGCGAGCGUUUAAUCGGAAUUACUGGGCGUAAAGCGUGCGCAGGCGGUCUGUUAAGACCGAUGUGAAAUCCCCGGGCUUAACCUGGGAACUGCAUUGGUGACUGGCAGGCUUUGAGUGUGGCAGAGGGAGGUAGAAUUCCACGUGUAGCAGUGAAAUGCGUAGAGAUGUGGAGGAAUACCGAUGGACGGAAGGCAGCCUCCGUGGGCCAAACACUGACGCUCAUGCACGAAAGCGUGGGGAGCAAACAGGAU